UUAUCUCUGUAGAGUCUGCAUAUCAAUAAGCGGAGGAAAAGAAACUAACAAGGAUUCCCCUUAGUAACGGCGAGUGAAGCGGGAGGAGCUCAAAUUUGAAAUCUUCAAGGUUCUACCUUGACGAAUUGUAGUUUAUAGAAGUGUUUUCUGUUAGUAGAGUGGCAAAAGUUCUUUGGAAUAGGACAUCAUAGAAGGUGAGAAUCCCGUAUUUGGUCAUUCUUUCUAGCUUUGUGAUACACUUUCAACGAGUCGGAUUGUUUGGGAAUGCAGUCCAAAAUGGGUGGUAAAUUUCAUCUAAAGCUAAAUAUUGGCGAGAGACCGAUAGCGAACAAGUACCGUGAGGGAAAGAUGAAAAGAACUUUGAAAAGAGAGUUAAACAGUACGUGAAAUUGUCAAAAGGGAAGCGUUUGACACCAGUGUUGUUUUUCCGAAAAUCAAUUACGAAUGUUUUGUUUUUGAGAAGUUAUGACUUCAUCGGCUUGCUUCUUUCUUCACGAAACUUUCUUAAUGCACUUUUCGGUUAACAAGUCAACAUCAAUUUCUUUUGUUGUAAAAGGGUAUGAGGAAGGUGGCUUUCUUUUCGGAGAAAGUGUUUAUAGCCUUGUACCUCUGCAAUCGGAGAGAUUGAGGUCUGCAGCGUAGAUCCUUCGGGGUUAGAUACAUUUGUGCUAAGUUAUAGCUUUUCAUAGACAACUUGUUGACUAUGUUAAGUCUUGUAGCUUACUCGCUUAUGCUAUUUUACCUACGCUUAGGAUGUUGACGCAUGAGAUAUACGC
rnacentral:rRNA from 1 species